rnacentral:rRNA from 1 species
GACGAACGCUUUCUUCUUUCUUAACACAUGCAAGUCGAACGGAAAGGCCCUGCUUUUGUGGGGUGCUCGAGUGGCGAACGGGUGAGUAACACGUGAGUAACCUGCCCUUGACUUUGGGAUAACUUCAGGAAACUGGGGCUAAUACCGGAUAGGAGCUCCUGCUGCAUGGUGGGGGUUGGAAAGUUUCGGCGGUUGGGGAUGGACUCGCGGCUUAUCAGCUUGUUGGUGGGGUAGUGGCUUACCAAGGCUUUGACGGGUAGCCGGCCUGAGAGGGUGACCGGCCACAUUGGGACUGAGAUACGGCCCAGACUCCUACGGGAGGCAGCAGUGGGGAAUAUUGCACAAUGGGCGGAAGCCUGAUGCAGCAACGCCGCGUGCGGGAUGACGGCCUUCGGGUUGUAAACCGCUUUCGCCUGUGACGAAGCGUGAGUGACGGUAAUGGGUAAAGAAGCAACGGCUAACUACGUG